AUUGAACGCUGGCGGCAGGCCUAACACAUGCAAGUCGAGCGGAUGAAGGGAGCUUGCUCCUGGAUUCAGCGGCGGACGGGUGAGUAAUGCCUAGGAAUCUGCCUUGUAGUGGGGGAUAACGUCCGGAAACGGGCGCUAAUACCGCAUACGUCCUGAGGGAGAAAGUGGGGGAUCUUCGGACCUCACGCUAUCAGAUGAGCCUAGGUCGGAUUAGCUAGUUGGUUGGGUAAAGGCCUACCAAGGCGACGAUCCGUAACUGGUCUGAGAGGAUGAUCAGUCACACUGGAACUGAGACACGGUCCAGACUACUACGGGAGGCAGCAGUGGGGAAUAUUGGACAAUGGGCGAAAGCCUGAUCCAGCAAUGCCGCGUGUGUGAAGAAGGUCUUCGGAUUGUAAAGCACUUUAAGUUGGGAGGAAGGGAAGUAAGUUAAUACCUUGCUGUUUUGACGUUACCAACAGAAUAAGCACCGGCUAACUUCGUG
rnacentral:rRNA from 1 species